rnacentral:lncRNA from 1 species
AAGCCGGAGGAAGAAGAGGAGUCUGAGAAGUCUAUGUCAGAGGUGAAUGAUGAGGAUGAUGAUGAAGAAGGCAGUGGCGAGGUUUUUUUUGGGGAUGUUUUGAUUUUUAGUUUGACUUGUUAUCAUUGUUAUGUGGUUUUUCUUGAAUUUGUUUGUUGAUUUAUUGUUUUUGGUUUUGUGCAGGAGGAUGAUGAUGAAUAGAAGUUGAAGGAAGAAAUUAGCAUAGUCAUGUUAGGCUGUGACAAUGUUUCAAACAACAUAUGUUAAUGCUUUGUGCUUCCAUGUUAAUUUUUUUGGAUGCUUUCAUCAUCUUCAUCAUCAUGUAAGAGAAUCAUGUUGCUUCUCCCUCGACAUUUUCUUAUGCCUGCCUUUCAAAGAAUUAAUAGCUGUAGGUGGGAGAUUCACUGCUCUAUAUGUACUGUGUUCUAAAGCUUAAUGAUUUAGCUAAGGCGUUCCAUCGUUUGUAGAAAAAUCCCAUGUUUUUUGAUGAUGAAUGGUGGUGAUGGUUUUUUCUUAUCUUUUGUAAUGCUAAGGAAAUUAGUUACAUUUGCUAUAGUUAAUCUUUAACGCAUUUGCAUGGUUAGGUCAUGAUUGGAUUGCAUGAUGUCAUAUGGCUUAUGAUUGAGCAGCUUGGAUGCUGAAGUAUGUUUUUAAUGAAUGGAAUGUCUUAAAAUAAUUUAUUUUGAUAAUAAGCACAUUGAAGUGCUAAAUUGUUUGUCAAUCUGUGGCUGCAAAUUGGUAGAGUAGAAUUCAUCCUUUGUGGCAUUGCCAGUGCUAAAUUUCAAGCAUUCAAGUGCAAUAUAAAUUAUCUUUUCUGGUUACAAUGUGUUUGGUGCCUUUUGCCUAAUCACAUAGUUAUUGUUUGGCUCAGAAAAAUGUUAUGCUUCAGCUCCUUUAUGCAGUUUUGGGGAAAACCUUUUUGACUUUUUACUUGAAGAUGGUGCUGCCGGACAAAAGUAUUUGCUGUUUUGCUCGCUGUGAUUAAUAGAUUAAACGGCCAAGCAAUUUCUAGUCAUUUGUGGGUUGGGUUAAUUUUUACAAAUUGGAAUAUGUUGGAUGGUUCAGCUAUAUAUGAUUGAUUUUUGGAAAUAUAUUUACUUUAUUCACCAUCCCUAAUAAGUAAUCAAUUUUUAUUUCCGCCGACUGACUACCUCAGCAAUUUUAUUUUGUUCUAGUUUUAAAAUUGGUAUCGAUUUAAUGCAUGAUAUUUAUUAGCUAAUUUAUUGGCAAUAAAUUAUGAAUAGUGUAGAGGAUCGAAAUAAAAGAUGGAGAAGACAUUUUGGAAUAAGAAUUGGGCUUAUUAUUAGAUGGAGACUGUUCAAUGAAUGUGUAUGAAAAUAUUUGAAGAAAAUAGUAAAAAAAGGUAUUUGGGUAAAUAUUAUAUGAGGUAACAUAUUACUAUGAUAGGCUAAUCAAGGUAUAUUUGAUUGUUAACGAUGAAGCAAGUACAAAUAGAUCUGUAUGUGUCGAUAAUAAAUGGUUGUAAUUUGAAUUUAUUGAGUGAUUGAAUAGGCGUGGUUGGUAGGAAAGAUUUCAUAAAAAGAAAAUAAAAAUACCCACGCGAGCUACGGACACACAAAGACAAUGGGAAACCUAGAAAAUUAAUUCGAGAGGGGGGCAAUUGAAAAAGAAAAUAUUAAGAGGGCAGUAUCCAACAAUAACCUAACAAAAAGAAAUACCAAUUAUAAAUAUUUUUUCUCAAAAUUGUCGGCAAAAUCCACAAAAGAAUAAUUUUUAUAUACAUGAACCUGUCAAAAAAUUGUCACUCUAAACAGGAUCAUCAACGUACAUAAAAAAGAUAAAAUUGAUCUAAUUCAUCGACCUCAAAAUAAUUACUAGCCUUUUUGAAAAUUGAUCAUUAUUCAUCAACCAAACGUUAUUAAAAUUAAAUUAUUGUUACUCCAUAAUCAUAACCCCAGCAAGAGAAAUCAAAAUCAGUCAAUAACCCCAAUAUUUUCAUUUUUUCAAAUCAGCAGCGGCUUUCGAGGAAGAGGAAGAAAGGCCAGUUGCCUAGUGACUUUUCUAGCCCGUAAAUCCACCAUGUAUUUUUUCAUUUUUUUAAUAAUCUAACAGCCGUUCGAUUUCUGACUCUAAACUAUUAUUUGUCCGUUAGUUACGAGUCCCCCUUUUAAAUGUAUUGACAGAACAGAUACGUGAUAUUUUUUUCGGUAUUGGAAGCAGAUUUUUCACUUUAGUGCCGGCAGAAUCUAAAUUCUUUUAAGAGCUAGAUAUUUAGAAUAAAAUAUUAAUAUAUUGUAAAUAUCUUCACUCAUUAUCGAGUCGGAUACGAUGGAUGUUGGGCACAUGGGCAACGGACGGCCAUCUCACAAAUUUAACGAAUUGUCGCGGCGCAGCGUGGUUUAAAGUUAUUCCUCUGUUUGUUAAACCUGUACAACACCAUUCUCCAUUCAAACGAGUGUUGAAUUUGACAAAGAAAAAUAAUCAUAAGAGUAACGUUGGGGUAAAUUUGAGGAACGUAGACAGAUUCUGACAUAAGCAAGCCUCCGUGAUGGGCAAUCAUAAUACAAAAAUAGUUAAAUUUCAACACAGAUACUGAAUAAAUAGGUCUCAAUUUUUGAACCUUCUCUUAAGAAAAACAUAUUUACUUUAAUUAUCUAAUAGACACAAUGUAUUUAAAUUAUUCUGCCAUUCAUAUAUAUACAUAUAAUGAUAUAUUUCACACAGAGAUCUUUCGUCACACAUCUGAUUCUCGGUGUUAUGUUUGUUUUGCCUUUGAACAUCUACUUAAUUCUGCAAGAAUUUAUAAGAAUUUAACCUUAUACAAUUCUUUUUAAAGUGGCCUCAAUUCUCUCUCACAUAUGUUAUUUCUUAAUUAAGAACAACCCUUAUUAUGUGCUCAAAUUCUCAAUGCAUAAGAAUCAUUAAGAUCAUAACUCGUUCUUUCUCCUACAAGCAUCAUUAUAUCAUCAUAGAAAUAGAUACUAGGAACCCUUAUAGUGACCUGGCUUAGUCUUUAAUAACUGAGUUUUCCCUUUGAACUAUAACUCUAUGGGCUUUAGUCUUAUUUUCUUCUAUGAUUUUCUACUAUCUCUCUGUUUAAUUCUUUAGUUAGUGAAUUUAUAAUGUUAUCCUUUGACUUCAUGUACUCAAUAAAAAUAACUACAAUAAAGAGUAAUUCCCUAAUGUUAAUUAUGUUUUUGAUGUAUAUGUCUAGACUUACUAUUAUACAUAUUGCUUUGUGCGCUUCCAAUUACAGAUUGAUUAUCACAGUGAAUGCAAAUUGAUGGCACAAGUUUUGGCCAACUUGGAAUAUCCUCUAAGAAAUUUCGCAGCCAUUAUACUUUUUCACCAUAUUUAUCCAAUGCAAUGAAUUCAGAUUCUGUUAUAGAUCUAACUAUCACAGUUUUUUCUAGAGAAUUUCCAUGAAAUAAUUGUACCUGCUAAUGUAAACAUAUAGUCAUUGGCAGACUUUUAAGUCUUUCACAUAAGACAUCCACUUUGCUAUUCAUAUUAAUGUAUCCUUCUAGUACAAUUGAAUAUCUAGUAUAGUGCAUCUCGUAAUUUUGAGUAUAUUAUAAGCAUCUGAGUACCCUUACUAUUGCUUUCUUGUGGUUAGCCCCUGGUUACUCGUAUAUCUACUGAACUUCCUCAUUGUAAAAAUUGAGUUUGAUUUUAUAUAGCUUAUUAAGUACAUCAAAAUCUAUAUCACUCUAGAAUAUUCUAUUAAAGGAAUUUUAGUCACAACAAAAGUAUCUUUGUUGAAUUUACUAAGUUUUUUUUUUCACAUAAUAUAAUUGACUAAGAAUAAGUCCAUUAGAAGUCCUUAAAUUUUUUAUUCUCAAGAUGACAUAUGCUAGAUCUCAUGUAUUUCAUGUCAAAUUUAUACUUCAACAUAUUCUUAGUAGACUUAACAAUUUUAUCAUUAUUCCCAACAUUGAGCAUGUCAUCAAUGUAAAGCCAUAAAAUAGCUUAGCUAUUUUCUAUCUCUUUGAUAUAUAUACGCAUAUUUCACGUUUGUUGAUCUUAAAACCAUUUGCCAUCAUCAUUUGGUCAAAAUUUUCUUAAAACCAUUUUGCAUAAUCCUUAGGUCAAAUCUCUCAUGCUUAUUUCAAUCCAUAAUGACUUUACUAAUUUACUGACCUUAUUAUUAUUAUUAUUAUUUUGGGAUUUUGGAGACUGUUCCAUAUAUAUUUCUUCAUCUAAGUCCCCAUUUAAAAAGAUUUUUUUUACAUCCAUUUGAGUACUUCAAGAUUACAUAAAGUCGCAAUUGCAAGUAUCAUCCUAAUAUAAUUUAUUCUCGUUACAAAAGAAUAUAUAUCAAAAUCAUCAAAGCCUUUUGUUGUUUAUAACCUUUAAUUACAACUCUAGCCUUAUAUUUGUUAAUUGAUCCAUCAACUUUCAUUUUUUCCUUGAUAUCACAGAGGUUUGCACCCUAGAUAAAGUUCCACAAACAUUUAAGUAUGAUUUUGUAAGAUAGAUUUAAUUUAACUGUUAAUGGCGUUUUUUCACAAAGUGUCUUCUGGUGAAAUUAUAAAUCUUCCUUGAAGCUUUGAGAUUCACUUUCCAGUAGCUCUUUUGUUACAUUUAAGUUCAAUCUCAACCUAUUAUUCAUAUUCUUAAAUUUCUUCUUGUUCUAGGUUCUGACUAUCUUCAACAAUAGGCUCAUGUGUUCAUUUAAUUGAACUUGAAUCAUCUUUGAAUUUACAAGUAAAUACAUGUUCAAAAAAUUAUGCAUUUCCUAAACAAUAGUUUUUGGUCCUAUCUUCAUAUUUGUAGGUGGAGAAAUGACCACUUUAGCAAGACACCUCAACACUCAUAAGAAUUUAUAGCAAGUUACUUUACCUUUCAAUAAUACGUAAGGAAUUAUCUCUUUUUCCUUUCAGGGCACUUUAUUUAAAAGUAAAUAGCUAAUAAAACCAACUUCUCUUUACAUAUCCUAAGGUACCCCAUAACCUAUCAAUAUUGCAUUCAUCAUUUUUUUCAAGGUAUGAUUUUUUUGUUAAGCAAUCCUAUUAGAUUGAGAUGAAUAAGGAGCUAUGAUUUGAUGUAUAACUCUAUAUUGUUAAUAGAGUGAUCCAAAUGGAACAACAUAUUCACCACCAUGAUUUCUUCUCAACACAUUCAUUUUUUUGUUUGGUUGAUUCUCAACUUCAUUUUAUAGAGAAUAAAUUUCUAAAUAAAUUCAUCCUUACUUUUUAACAAAUACACAUAACAAAAUUUUAUAUAGUCAUUAGUUAAAAUUAAAAAAAUAUUUAUGCAUUUCUUAAUUAGAAUAUUAUAUUUAUGUGAAUAUCUGGUAUAUUCCACUUAUACACUAGAAAUCAAGAUGGAGGAAUGAUCACUUUAGCAAGAUACCCUCACACUUAUAAAUAUUUAUUAGAUGGCGUUGUACCUUUCUGUAAUUCAUAAGAGGUUUUCUCUAUUUCCUUUUGGAAUACUUUAUUUAAAAUGUAAUUAAAUAACUUCUCCUCACACAUCUAAGAUAACCCAAAACUUAUGAACAUUACAUUAAUCAUUUCUUUUAAGGUAUGAUAUUUUCUUUUAGCAAUCCCGCUAGAUUGAGCUAAAUAAGGAGAUGAGGUUUGAUGUAUGAUUUCUUGUUGUUAGCAAAGUGAUCCAAAUAGAACAACAGACUUACCACCAUGAUUAUUUCUCAACUCCAUCAUUUUAUUAUUUAGUUGAUUCUCAACUUCAUUUUUAUAUAGAAAAAAUUUCUUUAUAGCUUUUUGUCUUUGUCUUUGUCUUUUAACAAAUACAUAUAACAAAAUCCACCCCUCGACUAAAUGGAUUUAAAGCACAUAUAUCGUUGUGUAUUAGAUCAAGUGGUUCAGUGCUCCUUUUAAUUAUUUGAGGGCAUACGAUUCCCUUAUGUUUUGUAUAAAUUUGUUAGUUUUGCCUCAACACAAGAUUCCCACUUAUGUUUUGUAUAAAUUUGGAAUAAGGAUAUAUGAUUUAUGUUAAUUAAUUUACGAAAAUAAUUAUAAUUAACAUGUCCUAAUCUACCAUGCAAUAAAUCAAACGACUCAAGAAAAUAAGGCUAAUAAUAUAGAUCAUGAAGAAAUUGCUUCGUUAUUCUUAAGUUCUACCUUAGCCACAAAAAUGAUAAUUUUCAUGUCAUUAUUUUUGUUGACUUAUUCAAUUUAAAGUCUUAUAAUUAGGUCUUCAAUGCUCAUUUCCUUUCUUUUAUACUUUGGAUAACUCUUCAAAUCUCAAUUUUGUUUCAAUUCAACAGAAAUUGAAUUGAAUGUCCACCCCUACCCUAAGUGUCAAACAUUUUACUGAUCUUACUAGUUACCACUUUAACCAUUGAUGGUUGUUUGAUAUUGAUAAUAUAAAUACCUUUAAUUAUUUAAUUGAUAUUGUUGUUAGACUAUACAGAUUUAAUUUCAAUUCAAUUCAAUCCUAGUGUAAUAAAAAGAAAAUGGCAAAAUCACCUUUAGUCUUUUCAUUUUUACUAAACAAAUUGGUGCGUUUCGAGAUUCAAUUUCUUAUUAACUCAAACACGAGUUUGAGUAUUUUAUGAUUAAAAGAGCUCACGGAGAAUAUUCUGAAUUAUCCAUGCAAGCAUAUUUCCUCAACAUAUAUCUUACUGAAAAUUGGCAUUAUAAUAAUUAUUUGUAUGUUAUUUUUUCAGCAUAUAUAUUGUUAAGCUUUCUUAUAUACUUAAGAGAUUUAGCAUGGGUUGUAAACAAAACAUUUGCAUUAGGUAUACACCCAACUUUCUUAGGGUGUAUUUGGAAGUAAGAUGUUAUAUCUUUUAAGUUGAAGUGGAUAAAACCCAUAAAUGUGGAGUAAAACUGAGAAAAAAAAAGACGCUAAGCUGCCAAAACACAGUUGUAAGGUGUUACCAAACAACUUUUAUUUUUGAAUUACACAUCAUUCCCAAAUGCAUCCUUAAAUUACUCAAUUGUUGUUUUCCUAUUUGUUUGUUAAAAUUAACACGUGUCCAUGUGUUUGCUUCAUCACUAAACACUGCCUCUUUAUUAUUCCCGUUGGAUAUGCCGAGGGCUGAUAGUUUCAUUCAUCUCCAAAGACUCAAACCUUUAGCAUAAAUUACUUAAACAAAAUAACAGUUGUAAAAUUUCGUUCCUUUUGUGUGUGUGUGUGUGUGUGUGUGUGUGUGUGUAUUACAAUUAUGAAAAUAAUAUAACUCUUAACAUCUUAUCAGGCUAGAGUAUGCUCUCACAUUUUGUUUAAUAUUGACUUAAUAUAUAUCAUACUCCAAAGUCCAAACAUAAGAUACAGCCCGUGCACGUUGAAAUUCCAUACCCACUACCCAGCAAAGAAAUAACAUGGGUUUUGUACUAUAUUUAAUUAAUUCCCACUAACCAACCCCUACGUAUAAUUAUUAGCCAAUUUUUUGAAUCAAAAUCUUGGUUUAUAAUAUGAUUUUUCAUCUCAUAAACAGAAUGUGCGUAAUUUCGUUUUUUUUUUUCCUUUUUUUUAAUUUUUAAAUAAUAAAGUCAUAAUAGUAUAGAAAAAUUUCUAUUUGAAGUGAAUUAGAUAAUAAUAAGAUGUAAAAAUUAAAAUUUUGAAUAUAUAAAAUAUUUGCUAAUACAUUUAUAAAUGUAUUUUAUGCAUUUUCAUAUUUUGAAAACAUUGUGCAUUAGACUCAUUAUCAAUGCUAUUAAAUACAUUAGUUUCUAUAUAAAUAACCAAAACAAUCAUGCAUCCAUUUAUCUCCCAUUCAAUUCUAGAGCUGCGAAUUUCAUUUACUAAAGAUAUUUUUUCUAUGAAUAAAUAAUUACCCAUUAUGUGAGUUACUAUUUAGGAUAAUUUAUUUGUGAACGAGCGUAACUUAAUUAUUUUAAACACUCGUGUAACACACUCAUUAUUCAAAAUAUAAUUCUCUUACCAUUAACCCUAAAACUUUUGUUUCUAACAUGUUAAAAAAUACUUCGUUGAAUGUGCAGCAAAUUAAUUAAAGAAAAACUAUUAAGUAAAGUUAUUUUUUUUAAAAUUAUUUCAAAGUAUAAUUAAUUCCAUUGUUGUAAGUUAUGCUAAAUUUCUUGAAAAUUUUUCUCGUGUGUGCUAAAUAUAUUUAUUGGUGUUUUAAUAAAUAAAUUAAUUUAAGUGUUUUAAGUAAAGAUUUUAUUAGUAUUUUAAAGAAUAUACAUCUGUAAAAUUUAAUUCUUUAAGUUUAGUAGAUGACUAUGCAAAGUAGUAAAGUGUUCAAUGCAAAUAAUUUCGCUCUUUCUUUAUUGUGGUUGUGAAAAUUGGAAGAAUUGAUGCAGAUGUCACCAACAAAUAUACUAAAAUUAAUGUUUAAUUUGUGAUUAAAAGGAUGAGAUAUUGUUAUUUUUAAAUAAUAUAAAUUUAUUUUGAAGAAUGAAAAAGUAUUUUCGGUUGUGGGGAGGUGGGCUAUUAUUAUUUUUAAUUAGAGUAUCGGCUUUUGCAAUAAUAAAAGUUGAAAUUUAAAUUUAUGAAUUUUAUAAGAAUUCUUUUAAUACCUUAAUGGGGAUCAGUUAGAAAUUUUAAAUAUAUGUUUUCCGAGCCUCCACUGCUCACGUGCUGGAUCCUCCGCCGGUGGUAAAUGGUAUGAGGUACUGUAACACAAAACAGAAUGGCAUGGAUGGGUUUUCAUGUUGUCAUGCAAUGGAAUAACAUGGCGGACACCGAACAGUCACAUCACAUCCCUCUGACUUGGCAGCCAAUAAAUAAAGCAAAGCAAGACAAUUAGACAAAGGGCAAAUAUUUUACGCCCCUUUUGCUCUCCGGUUGCAUUAAUUUACAGGACAAUAGGUUCUUUUUCUUUUCUUUUUCGAAUUUAAAGAUUACACUAGUUUCUCUGAUCAACGGGAUCAUUUAACCAAUGACUUGGCAGGGCCUACCCGCCUACGCCUGUGAGUGAUUGUAGUUCAAAAGAAUAAGAAGAGUAGAAAUGACUUACCCGCGAGACCCG